GACGAACGCUGGCGGCGUGCUUAACACAUGCAAGUCGAACGGAAAGGCCCUGCUUUUGUGGGGUGCUCGAGUGGCGAACGGGUGAGUAACACGUGAGUAAACUGCCCUUGACUUUGGGAUAACUUCAGGAAACUGGGGCUAAUACCGGAUAGGAGCUCCUGCUGCAUGGGGGGGGUUGGAAAGUUUCGGCGGUUGGGGAUGGACUCGCGGCUUAUCAGCUUGUUGGUGGGGUAGUGGCUUACCAAGGCUUUGACGGGUAGCCGGCCUUGGAGGGUGACCGGCCACAUUGGGACUGCGAUACGGCCCAGACUCCUACGUGAGGCAGCAGUGGGGAAUAUUGCACAAUGGGCGGAAGCCUGAUGCAGCAACGCCGCGUGCGGGAUGACGGCCUUCGGGUUGUAAACCGCUUUCGCCUGUGACGAAGCGUGAGUGACGGUAAUGGGUAAAGAAGCACCGGCUAACUACGUG
rnacentral:rRNA from 1 species